UACGGAGGGUGCAAGCGUUAUCCGGAUUCACUGGGUUUAAAGAGCGUGUAGGCGGCCAAACAGGUCCGUUGUGAAAACUGGAGGCUCAACUUCCAGACGUCGACGGAAACCGUGUGGCUAGAGUCCGGAAGAGGAGAGUGGAAUUCCUGGUGUAGCGGUGAAAUGCGCAGAUAUCAGGAAGAACACCAAUGGCGAAGGCAGCUCUCUGGGACGGUACUGACGCUGAGACGCGAAAGCGUGGGGAGCGAACAGG
rnacentral:rRNA from 1 species